rnacentral:rRNA from 1 species
CGGGUGAGUAAUGCCUAGGAAUCUGCCUGGUAGUGGGGGACAACGUUUCGAAAGGAACGCUAAUACCGCAUACGUCCUACGGGAGAAAGCAGGGGACCUUCGGGCCUUGCGCUAUCAGAUGAGCCUAGGUCGGAUUAGCUAGUUGGUGAGGUAAUGGCUCACCAAGGCGACGAUCCGUAACUGGUCUGAGAGGAUGAUCAGUCACACUGGAACUGAGACACGGUCCAGACUCCUACGGGAGGCAGCAUAU